rnacentral:rRNA from 1 species
GGUACUUGUACCGACUGGAUGAGCAGCGAACGGGUGAGUAACGCGUGGGGAAUCUGCCUUUGAGCGGGGGACAACAUUUGGAAACGAAUGCUAAUACCGCAUAAAAACUUUAAACACAAGUUUUAAGUUUGAAAGAUGCAAUUGCAUCACUCAAAGAUGAUCCCGCGUUGUAUUAGCUAGUUGGUGAGGUAAAGGCUCACCAAGGCGAUGAUACAUAGCCGACCUGAGAGGGUGAUCGGCCACAUUGGGACUGAGACACGGCCCAAACUCCUACGGGAGGCAGCAGUAGGGAAUCUUCGGCAAUGGACGAAAGUCUGACCGAGCAACGCCGCGUGAGUGAAGAAGGUUUUCGGAUCGUAAAACUCUGUUGGUAGAGAAGAACGUUGGUGAGAGUGGAAAGCUCAUCAAGUGACGGUAACUACCCAGAAAGGGACGGCUAACUACGUGCCACCAGCCGCGGUAAUACGUAAGUCCCGAGCGUUGUCCGGAUUUAUUGGGCGUAAAGCGAGCGCAUGUGGUUUAUUAAGUCUGGUGUAAAAGGCAGUGGCUCAACCAUUGUAUGCAUUGGAAACUGGUAGACUUGAGUGCAGGAGAGGAAAAUGGAAUUCCAUG